GACGAACGCUGGCGGCGUGCUUAACACAUGCAAGUCGAACGAAGUGGCGAACGGGUGAGUAACGCGUAAUCAACCUGCCCUUCAGAGGGGGACAACAGUUGGAAACGACUGCUAAUACCGCAUACGGUAGGAGGGGAUUGCGUCUGAUUAGCUAGUGGGAGGGGUAACGGCCCACCAAGGCGAUGAUCAGUAGCCGGUCUGAGAGGAUGAACGGCCACAUUGGGACUUGGAAACGGCCCAGAAUCCUACGGGAGGGAACAGUGGGGAAUCUUCCGAAAUGGACGAAAGUCUGACGGAGCAACGCCGCGUGGGUGAUGACAGCCUUCGGGUUGUAAAGCUCUGUUAAUCGGGACGCGGUACCGGAAUAGAAAGCCACGGCUAACUACGUGCCAGCAGCCGCGGUAAUUC
rnacentral:rRNA from 1 species